AAAAGAGAAAUGCCAAUUUAUCAAUUAGAUGAAUGCUCUUGUUGGAAGGACAACUUGGAGAUACAAUUAAUACAUGAUCACAUAUAUGAAAGAGACAACUCCAACCUACAUUAUACCAUGAAUUAUGGGCUAUAGCCUUGCUACUCUAGGGAUGUAAAACUCCAAGACUAUGUUGCUAGCUAAAAAUGGUAAACGGAUCACUUAAUCUUGGAGCAAAUCUCUCCUCUGAUCCUCUCCAGAUUCGAUGGCCCCAUUAACCAAAGGAAAGCUUGUCUUCUUCUUUCCCUCUAUACUUCUCGGAGUUCGAUCCCCAUGAAGCUCCAAGCAAUUGUGGCAGCCAAGUGCAUCUUGAGGACCCUGCCAAGUUACACAAAAAAAGGGAUUAGCAUAGACUCAUAGUUUGGGAAAUAGGGGGAGACCAAACCAAAAUGUGGGAGGGGACAAGAUGAGCUAAACAAGAUAGCUAAGAACCCAAAUCAAAGCUGUAAGAGUCAGCCAAUCUGUUUUUUUCAAGGUAUCAUCAAAGAGGGAAUCAGACCAAAAGGGCCUCGGUAAAGUGAGCUUAUCACCGAGCUCAUUAGAGCAAAGAGCAAACUCAACCCCAAGGCUUGCAUCAAUUAAGUAUGAUCCCUAUAAUCAUAAAGCUCAAAAGGGGGAUGAGCUUGUAGCCAAAAAUGGGAAGCACAAUAUACAAGGAGUAGGUCCUCCAAGAAUUUCACAAAUUUGGCAAGAAGGCUUUUUAGCUCAACUCAAAAAGAGAAGUGAGUUGUUAGCUCAAAAUAGAAAGUGGAGCUCUCCAAUGCCUUACACCAAUUUAGGCAUAAAAGCUUUAAGCUCAAAUUCAAAAGUGAAGGAAUCUUUAUCCCAAAUUAGACACAAAAUGCCAAGGAGUUUUGGCUAUAAAUACCAGCCCACCACCACCUCCUUCCUCACACCUCUCUAAAUUCACAAAUCACAAGAAGUGCAGCAAGAGAGGAGGGAGUGGCGGCGAGCUUAAGGGCAGUCCGGCGUUCAAAGGAGUCAUCGAGAAAGAGGUUAUCUCCGCGAGCUAAGGUCGGAGUCAGGAAAAAUCAAGCUAAGAAGUUUAAGCAAACGAGGUUGAGCAGUGAUGACGGCGGGCGGUGUUGAGCAUAGACGAUGAAGAUCCUUCGAUAGAAUAGUACUUGGAUGCGUCGUGUCUCCAUACAUGAUGUCAUCUACUCUUGACUCUUCCGCUGCAAAGUAAAAGUCGAGUUUACAAUCUUUGUAUCAAUCACUCUGAUAUAGAUAAAUUCGAGUUAUUUCAGUUCAA